ensembl:lncRNA
AGACAGCAGAGCCAGUGUCCCCUGAUCUACCCAGCAGGUGGAGCACUAGCAAGUCUCUACCCAUCCUUUUAACAGACAGCAGAGCCAGUGUCCCCUGAUCUACCCAGCAGGUGGAGCACUAGCAAGUCUCUACCCGUCCUUUUAACAGACAGCAGAGCCAGUGUCCCCUGAUCUACCCAGCAGGUGGAGCACUAGCAAGUCUCUACCCGUCCUUUUAACAGACAGCAGAGCCAGUGUCCCCUGAUCUACCCAGCAGGUGGAGCACUAGCAAGUCUCUACCCAUCCUUUUAACAGACAGCAGAGCCAGUGUCCCCUGAUCUACCCAGCAGGUGGAGCACUAGCAAGUCCCUACCCGUCCUUUUAACAGACAGCAGAGCCAGUGUCCCCUGAUCUACCCAGCAGGUGGAGCACUAGCAGGUCUCUACCCAUCCUUUUAACAGACAGCAGAGCCAGUGUCCCCUGAUCUACCCAGCAGGUGGAGCACUAGCAAGUCUCUACCCAUCUUUUUAACAGACAGCAGAGCCAGUGUCCCCUGAUCUACCCAGCAGGUGGAGCACUAGCAAGUCUCUACCCGUCCUUUUAACAGACAGCAGAGCCAGUGU